CGGGACGGGUGAGUAAUGUCUGGGAAACUGCCUGAUGGAGGGGGAUAACUACUGGAGACGGUAGCUAAUACCGCAUAACGUCGCAAGACCAAAGAGGGGGACCUUCGGGCCUCUUGCCAUCGGAUGUGCCCAGAUGGGAUUAGCUAGUAGGUGGGGUAACGGUUCACCUAGGCGACGAUCCCUAGCUGGUCUGAGAGGAUGACCAGCCACACUGGAACUGAGACACGGUCCAG
rnacentral:rRNA from 1 species